AGAUAGGCGGCGCUCACUUGCCUCCAGAGGAAGCUUGAAGACAGGUGGAGCAGAGGACACUUGGCCGUGGAUUUAGGUUUAUUCAGGAAGAGUUGGAGCAACAAUAUCAUCAACAGUGACGGUGGAAUCUGAAUCUGUGAACCAGAAAUCAACACCGAUCUCUAACAUGGAUGAGCUGCCUGCUAUAUUCAUCUUUCUGUUGCUGCGUGUUGCUGAACUCACUCAGUGCUUUCCAGUCACAGCAAGUCAAGGUGUGAUUUCUCUUGUAUACUCCACUCUCCUGACAAAAAAAGUAUAUCGGAGAUGUUUCAUAGAUCUGCUGUGUCAUGUUACAGGUGGACACCAAUCUGUGCAGGUGUUUUUCUGCAAGAAUCCAGGGUGUGCUGCGAAUGUGACUCACAUAUUUUGCAGCGACAACAGUGUAAACUUCAGUCACACUCACAUCACAGAGUGUUCAGGCCCUCCACCACCCAAUAAUGUCUGCCAGCAUGACGGUCGGGCCUUCGUUGCCAAAGAUACAGCUGGUUCCUGUGACUUUGAAGGUAGCAUGGGUUAUAUUGACACCGAAAAAUGUACAGACCAAAAGAACAUUUGUGCUUUUAUCAGUGCUACCACACCAUCACCAGUCACCACAGAGGGGACGCCAAAGGACCAUGCAAAACCUGGACACAUUGCCGCUGGAGUUGUUGGGCUGAAAUGUUGGUCCUUUAAUUGUGACAAUCAGGUGGUUUACUGCUGCUAAUAGCACUUGCAUGUGUGAUUGCAUGUUGCUGUAUAAGAAGACGAAACAGAGAACAAAAUCAACCGCCAGCAAGGGACCCUGAUGUAAAUUUACCCCUAAGAGAGCAGCAGGACCCUGGAGAAACCAGCGAGGGUGAUACUCAUGGUGGCCCUGGACUGGAUGAUGGCAGCUCUCCUCAGUGUGGAGCUUAAACUCCUGCAGUCUCAUUUCUGUUCUUAUUACCUCCAUCAAGGAGGUUAUAUUUAUUUAAGUUGUUUUUUGUUACGACCCCAAAUUCUGUCACCUGGUACUCCUCCUCAUGCUGUUCAUGUGUUGUAUUGUUUUAUUUGUUUUACUUUAAUAAAUUUCAUUUUAUUGUUGUUAA